GAGGGUGUAGCUCAGUGGUGGAGUGCCUGCCUAGCAUGCACGAGGUCCUGGUUUCAGUCCCCAGUACCUGUG
rnacentral:tRNA from 1 species